AAAAAUGAGUCUAGAUGAAGAUGAUCUUUCUCAUAGUGGAUUUUUAUGGAGCUAUCAAUCCUAUGAUAUUGGGAUUGGGUUCGGCGGAUCCCGGGACAUGUAAGAUGUGUAAUUUCUUCAAGGCCCAUCUUAAAGUAAGGUAAAUCGAAUUAAGGCCAAGUUGUAACUUUUGAGCUUUACUGAUACGUAAGUAUUUGGUAGCAAUUGAACCCAAUAAGAGAGAACGACAAUAAUUUAAUUGUGUUUUCAACAGUAAUGAUAUUAGCUAAUUUUAUAUACAUUUGUUUUGUUAUAUUUUUUCCCAAUAAAAUCAAUAAUGUAAAUAUGCGUAAAAAAUACAUAUUUAUAAAAAAAAAUUGUUUUACAUAAUAAUUUUCCAGUUGGUGAUGUAAAUAGAUGAUUUACAUGUUUUUAAACAUUUUUAGCUCUUAGGAAUAAAUAGUUCGGUAUUGGAUGAUAUCUUAAGACAAGAUAUUUUACAUUAAUUUUAAACAUUUUUAAUUUAUAAAAUAUUGCACAUUAAUUUAAAAUAUUUUAGAGUAUAUCAUAUUUGGUUAGUUAAAAUUUUAUAUUACGAUUUUGUAAUAGAACAUUUAAUUUUCUAUUAUAAAGUAGUUUUAUAAAAGAAAUAUUAGUGUUUUAUUAACGAUUUAAAUUGAAAAUUUGACAUUAUUGUAUAUAUGUGAUUAUAUAUAUAUAUAUAUGAAAAGAAUCUCGUUGUUCGUUUGAUUUUUAGGUUUUCUAAUACUUAUAUGUUUAUCUACUAUAUGGUUAGUCAAGAAUAUAGAUUUUAUACGAAAGAUUUAUUUAUUUUUAGUUAAUUUGAUAGCAAUGUAUUAGGGAUGUCUUAAUUUGGAACGUCCUUGAUAUUAGGAAUAUUUUGUGGGGUUAAAUUUAAGAUUUAGACAUUUUUCUAUUUAAAAUAGAUUUAGCACAUACAUUUAUUAAUAUGUAAAAGACAAAGAAAACUUAAAGAUAGAUUCAUUAAAUAUAUCAGUGGUUUUGAAGUGUAAAUAACUUAUAAAACUAAAGGGUGUUUUUAUUUUGUACUUAUAUUUUAAUAAAUUAGAUAUAUACAUAUAUAUAUAUUAUAUUUAAUUUAUAAAAUAAAAGACAAUAUAAAAGUUAGGGCUAUUUGGGUGGAAAUACACAAACAGAAAGAUAAUUAGGUUUCCAUGCAAAAAAAAUAAUAAUUAGCUAUAUAGACAAAUGAAUGAAGCGAAGUUACCUUGUUGUCCUCUCCACACUUUCUCUCUCUGCUUCAUCAUCCUCCUCCUCCUCCUCCUCCUGGCGUCAACACCGUGACUGAGCAUGAGCUCCGAUCUCUACUCGAGUUCCGCAAACGCAUCCGCGACGAGGCCUCCAACCAACGCAUAUCUCAUGCUCUUCUACAAGCAGCCUCACCGACCCCUCCACUUGCCCCGAGAACUGGCCCGAUAUCUCCUGCGACCCAGAAACGGUUCAAUCGUCGCAACUAAUAUUGACCGGCUCGGUUUAUCAGGAGAACUCAAAUUCAGCACACUAACCGGUCUCACCUCCCUCCGCAACCUCACUCUCUCCGGAAACAACUUCUCGGGUCGGGUCGUGCCUUCCCUCGGAGCCAUCUCGUCUCUCCAGAGACUAGAUCUGUCGGAUCACUACAAGAAAAAGACCUAUAACCUGAGGACUACAAUCCUCACAUAAUCGCCGGAGCUUUGUCGGUACUUUCCGAUAUCAAAAUCCUGAUGAAAAUUAAUUAUUACAAAGUGGUCGUUUGUUUUAGACGAGAUUCCGGGAAUUUGUUGGCCAGCAACAGUAACACCGGAAAAUAGAUAGAACAAGUCAUCGGAGGAAAAUAAAUAUGAUAAGAAAAAAAGAACAAAAAUUAACAGAAACAACAAAAUCGUUUUGAUUUUAUAGCGCUUUUACUAAUAUAGUGAAAGUAUUUGAACAUAAUAGAAACAGAAAGUGAAGAUAUUGCUUCUGUAAAGAUCAAUUUUAUUGAAUGAUUUGAAACCAUAAAACUCUGUUUUUGAUAUAUAGAAAUAGAGUAUGGAAAAACGAACUGAACCGCCUUGGUAUUCUGGUGGUUUUACUUUCUCAGACUCUUCUAGUGAAUCUCCACCGUGCGAUCUGACACUUCCACCGUUCGAUUUAUCUAAAUCACGACCAAUUAAUCCACCAGGAAAAUAACAUGAGAAGGACGUGCGAUGAUAUCAGGACAGAAUCAUCCCAGAAAUGAUCUAGAAAGCCCAUAGAUGGAGCAAAGCCUAAUUAUUCAAGAAUCUGAAAUUUCUGGGUUCAAGUUAUGUUUUUUCACAUAUGUGGCUUGGUUUAAUAUAAUAAGAUGUAUCGAGAAACGUUGUUUAUCGGGAGUUCAAGAUUGAACGAAAAUUGGUGGUGAAAUAAUAGAUGACAAAAAGAAAAAUAAAGACCACCAGACGUCGCAUAAUUUUGUUAGACGUCAAAGAGCUACAUUAUAGGGG
rnacentral:lncRNA from 1 species